AUUUUCAUGAGACCCAUUCCUUUGACCUCCACCAAGUGUCUCAUGCAGUUUAUAACAUGGUGAUUGACUUAUGUGGGGGAGUAAUACAUAAUACAGCUCAAGCUGAUGGAACCGGACAGUAGAAACAGAGAGUUUCGGUGACACACAGAAGGCCAGACAGACCAGGAGUGGUCCAUCUUUGAACCCUGUUACUCUACCUCUCGGCAACCUUGUGUCUUAUUACAACAAAGAUCACAGAAAAGGAGAAGAAUCCAGGAACAUGACUACCAACCUAGUCAGAAAAGUGAGCUACCAAGCUGGCCUGCUGGCACCCUGGAGCAAGCCGACCCCGUGUAAAAGUGUGAGGAGAAGACCACGCAGAACUCCCAACCAGGCCGAGCCUUGUGACCCUGAACAAGAAGGAGGAAAGUGAUUUGGGGGAUAUUAACUAUGGCUCCUUUCAGGUCUAAACUCAUGGCUGACUUCCCCAGCAGGCUUUGAGCAAUCAAAACACCCAAGACAAAUCCCAUACGCAUACCUAAUUAAAUAAUCCAGAUUCUGUUUGCUUGGGUU